UACGAAGGGGGCUAGCGUUGUUCGGAAUUACUGGGCGUAAAGCGCACGUAGGCGGAUACUUAAGUCAGGGGUGAAAUCCCGGGGCUCAACCCCGGAACUGCCCUCGAAACUAGGUAGCUAGAAUCUUGGAGAGGCGAGUGGAAUUCCGAGUGUAGAGGUGAAAUUCGUAGAUAUUCGGAAGAACACCAGUGGCGAAGGCGACUCGCUGGACAAGUAUUGACGCUGAGGUGCGAAAGCGUGGGGAGCAAACAGG
rnacentral:rRNA from 1 species